rnacentral:rRNA from 1 species
GACGAACGCUGGCGGCGUGCCUAAUACAUGCAAGUAGAACGCAGUCGCGAACGGGUGAGUAACGCGUAGGUAACCUGCCUCAUAGCGGGGGAUAACUAUUGGAAACGAUAGCUAAUACCUCAUACUGUGAGAUGGACCUGCGUUGUAUUAGCUAGUUGGUGAGGUAAAGGCUCACCAAGGCGACGAGUCAUAGCCGACCUGAGAGGUUGGUCGGCCGCCGUGGGAGUGAGACACGGCCCAGACGCCUGCGGGAGGCAGCAGUGGGGAAUUUUGGGCAAUGGGGGGAACCCUGAUCCAGCCGUCCCGCGUGUGAGAUGAAGGCCUUCGGGUUGUAAAGAACUUUUGGCAGGAAAACGGUACCUGCAGAAUAAGCACCGGCUAACUACGUGCCAGCCGCCGCGGUAAUAC